CUAUCGGCGUGGGAUGGGGUCGCGUCCUAUCAGCUUGUUGGUGAGGUAACGGCUCACCAAGGCUUCGACGGGUAGCCGGCCUGAGAGGGCGACCGGCCACAUUGGGACUGAGAUACGGCCCAGACUCCUACGGGAGGCAGCAGUGGGGAAUAUUGCACAAUGGGCGCAAGCCUGAUGCAGCGACGCCGCGUGAGGGAUGGAGGCCUUCGGGUUGUAAACCUCUUUUGUUUGGGAGCAAGCCUUCGGGUGAGUGUACCUUUCGAAUAAGCGCCGGCUAACUACGUGCCAGCAGCCGCGGUAAUACGUAGGGCGCAAGCGUUAUCCGGAUUUAUUGGGCGUAAAGGGCUCGUAGGCGGCUCGUCGCGUCCGGUGUGAAAGUCCAUCGCUUAACGGUGGAUCUGCGCCGGGUACGGGCGGGCUGGAGUGCGGUAGGGGAGACUGGAAUUCCCGGUGUAACGGUGG
rnacentral:rRNA from 1 species